GUCAGCAUGGUGUAGUGGUUUGAGCAUUGGACUAUGACUCUACAGACUAGGGUUCAAAUCCCACUCAGCCA